ensembl:lncRNA
AGGGGGGGCGCCUACAAUCUUGUGAUAUUUAUUUCCAGGCACUCAAGCAGAUUGUCACAGUAAAUAUCAGAGAAAAAUCCCCCUGUGCUCCCAGCAGGAGGAGGGGUAAAGGAGCCAUUUUCCAGGAGCCAGAGCACUCUCUGCUUCUUAACAAGCCCUGCCUUCAGGGGAAACUAGUUAACCAGAGCUUGACCUGCUGGGGUAUUAUCAGAGGCUAACUGACCCUAUGAGAAGGGAAGUACCUAACUCCAGCCCACUGUAGGUACCCUCUUCUACCUAAGGGGGAAGAAAAAACCCAAAAAACACUUGUGAAGUUCACAUUCCAGAGGCAUAGGCUCACAAAAACACUGAGACCUAAUCAUAGGACUAUAGAACGCUUACUCUCCUCACCUCACCACCACAUUACAGAAGGUCUAUUUACAGCAGUUCCUUUGGCCCAGUACAUCAUGUCCGACUAUCAAGAAGAAAUUACAAGGCAUAACCAAAGGCAAAAAUCACAAUUUGAAGAGACAGAGCAAGCAUCAGAACCAGAUAUGGCAGGGAUAUUGGAAUUAUCAGACCAUAAAUUUAAAACAACUAUGAUUAAUAUACUAAGGACUCUAGUGGGUAAAGUAGACAGCAUGCAAGAAAACAGAUGGACAGUGUAAGCAGAGAGGUGGAAAUCCUAAGUGAAAACCAAAAAGAAAUGCUACAGAUCGAAAACACUGUAACACAAAAGGAGAAUGCCUGUGAUGGGCUCAUUAGUAGACCAGACACAGCUGAGGAGAGACUCUGUGCUUGACGCUCUCUCGGUAGAAACUUCCAAAACCUUAUCUGUAGAAGAACAAAGAUAAGAAUUACAUCUGACUUCUCAGAAACCAUGCAAGCAAGAAGAGGAGUAAAAUAUUGAAAGUGUUGAGAGAAAAUAACCACCAACCUAGGAUUCUGUAACCUGAGAAAUCAUCCUUCAAAAGUGAAUGAGAAAUUACGACCUUCUCAGACAAAACAAUUGAGGGAAUUAGUUGCCAGUAGAUCUACCUUGCAAGAAAUGUUGAAAGAAGUUCUUUACAGAGAAGGAAUGUAAUAUAGGGCAUAAACUUGGAUCUACAUAAAAAAGGGAAGAAAAUUGAAGAAGGAAUAAAUGAAGGUAAAUACCAAGAAGUAGAAUUGCUAGAUAAUAUGGUGAGCCAUAAAUAGAUAUUUGAAAAGCUGCAAUUGUGGAUGGGCUUCUGCUCCUGCUGGACUCACUCUCAUUCCGAUUCCAUCAGAAAUGGUGAAGAUCAAUGCGGAGUGAUGCUGCUAAAGGAGCCCAGGCUGCUACUUGUAAGUAUUCUCGAGAAGACAGAAGAAAGGAAGUCCUUCUGCAAUCAACUCGUCAGGCUGAAUGUGAGAAAGAAGCCGGGUCAAGGUGACUCUCCAAAACUGUUGAUGGGCCUGAGAAUGCAUCCUGCUUGCAAUCUAGCAAGUUAACUUGCUGCAGUUUUGUGGGUGCUGGAAGAAGCAACCAGACAUCUGGAGACACUGAAGAAGUAAAGUUUUAAUGAAGGAGCUGAAAGAUCAGAAAGAAGUUACUAAUCCACCUCCUAAAACCCUGAAACAGAAACAGCUUUUCCAAUGGACCAUAUAUUCCCAGGGACUGAGAUGAUGACUGGAGUAAAUUUUGGAUCCCACC